UGGGCCCGCGGCCUAUCAGCUUGUUGGUGGGGUAACGGCCUACCAAGGCGACGACGGGUAGCCGGCCUGAGAGGGUGUCCGGCCACACUGGGACUGAGAUACGGCCCAGACUCCUACGGGAGGCAGCAGUGGGGAAUAUUGCACAAUGGGCGCAAGCCUGAUGCAGCGACGCCGCGUGGGGGAUGACGGCCUUCGGGUUGUAAACCUCUUUCACUAUCGACGAAGGUUCGGGUUUUCUCGGAUUGACGGUAGAUGGAGAAGAAGCACCGGCCAACUACGUGCCAGCAGCCGCGGUAAUACGUAGGGUGCGAGCGUUGUCCGGAAUUACUGGGCGUAAAGAGCUCGUAGGUGGUUUGUCGCGUUGUUCGUGAAAUCUCACGGCUUAACUGUGAGCGUGCGGGCGAUACGGGCAGACUAGAGUACUGCAGGGGAGAUUGGAAUUCCUGGUGUAGCGGUGGAAUGCGCAGAUAUCAGGAGGAACACCGGUGGCGAAGGCGGGUCUCUGGGCAGUAACUGACGCUGAGGAGCGAAAGCGUGGGGAGCGAACAGGAUUAGAUACCCUGGUAGUCCACGCCGUAAACGGUGGGUACUAGGUGUGGGUUUCCUUCCUUGGGAUCCGUGCCGUAGCUAACGCAUUAAGUACCCCGCCUGGGGGAGUACGGCCGCAAGGCUAAAACUC
rnacentral:rRNA from 1 species